UACGUAGGGAUGCAAGCGUUGUCCGGAUUUACUGGGCGUAAAGCGCGCGCAGGCGGCAGUGUAAGUAAGGUGUGAAAUCUCCCUGCUCAACGGGGAGGGUGCACUUUAGACUACACAGCUAGAGGUCGGUAGAGGGGGGUGGAAUUGCUGGUGUAGCGGUGAAAUGCGUAGAGAUCAGCAGGAACACCCGUGGCGAAGGCGGCCCCCUGGGCCGUACCUGACGCUGAGGCGCGAAGGCUAGGGGAGCGAACGGG
rnacentral:rRNA from 1 species